rnacentral:rRNA from 1 species
GACGAACGCUGGCGGCGUGCCUAAUACAUGCAAGUCGAGCGGACAGAAGGGAGCUUGCUCCCGGAAGUCAGCGGCGGACGGGUGAGUAACACGUGGGCAACCUGCCUGUAAGACUGGGAUAACUUCGGGAAACCGGAGCUAAUACCGGAUAGGUUCUUCCCCCGCAUGGGGGAAGAUGGAAAGACGGUUUCGGCUGUCACUUACAGAUGGGCCCGCGGCGCAUUAGCUAGUUGGUGGGGUAAUGGCCCACCAAGGCGACGAUGCGUAGCCGACCUGAGAGGGUGAUCGGCCACACUGGGACUGAGACACGGCCCAGACUCCUACGGGAGGCAGCAGUAGGGAAUCUUCCGCAAUGGACGAAAGUCUGACGGAGCAACGCCGCGUGAGCGAAGAAGGCCUUCGGGUCGUAAAGCUCUGUUGUCAGGGAAGAACAAGUGCCAGAGUAACUGCUGGCACCUUGACGGUACCUGACCAGAAAGCCACGGCUAACUACGUGCCAGCCGCCGCCGUAAUAC